UAACUCUGAAACUCAAAAAAAAAUACAACUUUCUAUUCAUAACAGUGACCAGUCCGACGUGAUAUCUGAUAAGGAUUCCAGGGUCCCCUCUGAGGUCCGGGCGGCGCCCCACUGAUUUCAGCCGCCGGACAAGACUGGGUAAACCCAUCAGAACCAAUCAGAUAGAAACGAACUUUUCUGUAGCCAGAAAGUUAGCCACAACCAAAUGGUGGAACAGGCCCAGAGCUCUCGAGGACGGAGGUAGCUCUCCGUGGAAGCCGGCUAUUUUUACCUGUAAAAACAACGUGCACGAAGAAUCCACGCAGGAAAACGGACCGUACGUAUCGCGUGGUUGGGGGGUGGAGUGUUCGUGUGUGCGUGUGAGACGUUGUGGGAACUCAGUACAUCACUCCGGAUGUCCAGAGCUACCGAGACAACCCUUGGGGGGCUCGGAGGCCCUGGAAUGUUGCCAAAAGUACCUGGUGGCUUGACUUUGAUCCUUUUAAAGAAAUGACACCUGAAGGUGAGGAGAUGAGAGAAUUUCAGGUCUGAAUGGUGAGGGGAUGUUAUUCACUUGUUAGAACUUAAGUUAGAAUGCACUGUACAGGGGGGUUUUAUGUGUUGUACAGGGGGGUCUAGAAUUCUGUGCAUGGAUCAGGAGUCCCAAGAUGGAGGAAUUUGGGCGUGCCCCGUCCUUCUUCUUUCUUCUCCUUGGCAUCCAUGUUCAGGAUGAUGUUGGCAUGUGUGGAUUGGUUCAUAGAAAGAGUACACUUGCCAACAAGGGCAGAAAGUAUUGGGAAGUAAAGGUAAAUAUCGAAUACGUAAUUUUCAUUAUAAAAGAGACAACCGCCUCGUGGGCGGGGGAGAGUGCCUUUGGCUGUCUUGCUGAUCAGACCUCGGCUGGACAGACAGAAAAUCUUUGUAGAUAAGAAAUAAUAAACUCGACUGAAGACCUAAAGCAAGAGUCCAGACUCCUUCUUCGAGAGCGCGGCCUACCCAGAACCACUUUUUCCCGUGCUGGGGCAGAGACAAGCAACAGCCGACCCCGGCAAGACGUAAUACAUAUCACGAAGCGAGUGCGGACCCUAAGAUCGCAGUUCCAUUUUUCCGUGAGGAAAGUGGUCGAUCGCAGGGGAAGCGAGUGGAAGGUUCGCUUGGAGCACACAUCACGAGUGCGUGUGAACGGGUAGAAAUACUACGAAGCAAGUGUGGAUCCAAGCAUCGCGACCAGUCAUGGGGAAAAGCGGGGAGUGAGCUCGCUUGGAACACGCAUCACGGGUGCGUGUGAACGGGGUAGAAAUACCACAAAGCGAGCGCUGAUCCCCGCGUGUGAACAGAAUAAAGUAUUACGUUUGGAACACACAUCAACCCGAGAAAAGCCCCGGGGAAGUUGAAAAGGAGGGGGGAAGAAGGGUUGCUUUGACGAUCACUGACUGGGUCAGGAGGACCGACAGGACCUUGCUGGAUCCAGGGAAAAGAAGACACCAGGAUAGACCCUCCAAGGUAAAGAGAAUAGGAGUGACAUCAGAGCCAUUAUGCAGAUGAGAAAUGCAUUGCGCCCCGAAUUUUUACAGUUUUUACAAGAAAAACCCCUAAAAUCACGAGCCAACAAGUGACUUAAGUGACAUCUAAGGAUGGGAGCGUAGUCCCGUACCUGCUUGGAUCCUUUUUGCUUCUCACUCUAACCUGAAAAGAUACUGAUUAAAGAGACACCCCGGGGUGUUAAACAAACAAGCCAGGAAUCUGCAACUCUCCCGUGAGGAUGGAAUCCUCAGCUCUGUCUGCAGACCAGCGGACAAAGCUGCGUCAUCCUCCUUCUCCGGGCCACACCUGGGAGCAACGGCGGCGUGGGCGCAACCCGUCAAUUUCUCCCCACCUGAGCCGAUUCUUCUUAAUAAAGGCAUUAAAAAGGACAAAGAUCUUCUGCCCAUUUAUUUCAGACACCAGAAAACCCAAGUUUUGUGUAAUCAUAUUCUCAAAAACUGUGGGUGUGUUAAGAAUAACAAAAGCAGGUAAUUGAAAAAUGUAUAAAUCUGCCAAAAAGUUAGUUUUUAAGAGCCUUUUGAAAGUUUGUGGGAAAGGCCAUAGAAGAAGCUUUAGAAGAAAUAUCUGAAUGGUUUAGAAUCAUGAAAGUUAUAAUGACUUUGCGUUUGAUGAAAUUAAGAAAUUGUCUGGAAAGGUUAAAUGGAAAUAAAAGGUAUGAAAUGAUGGUUUAUGGAGAAUGUAUUUCCAGCUGAGUGCACGCAUCGGGGAAUAGUAUACAGCUUUGGUGGAGUUUAGAAAAGAGACUCUGUGAGAUUCCUGGAAGUUAUUUUGGGAGUUUUUUUCUCUGAAGGUUUUUUUUUUUUUUAAUCUUGAAAAGGUGUAAGUUUUAAAAGCUUUUGGAGACAUUUAAAAUAGCUAUGAGGUAUUAAAGAGGAUUAGUUUGAAUUCUAGUGGUUUACAAAAAGGAAUUGAGCAAUUAAAAUUGAAAAUAAAAGUUACUAAAAAUAAGAGGAGACAUUUAAGGUCAUUUUCAUAAUGGUAGAUGAAAAACCUUCAUGGAAAUGAUAACCAGUCGAAAUUGUAUGUUUAAAAUACAAUGUGUAUUGUGGUCUAUAAUUAACGUGUGUUGAACCAGUCUCCAUUUGUCUCUAAUUGUUAAAUUUGUGCUGUAUAGUUAUAGUGUUUUGGAAGUAAGCUGGUGGUAUAUUAGAUGCUUAAACAAAAGAAAAGAAAUUUAAAACACCACCUGCAGUGUGUAAAAAGGAAAGCUACAUCAUGUAAAAAAUUUUUAAAAGUUUAAAUGCAUAUUUGAGAAGAACAGUGAAACAUUCAGAUUGUGAUAUUCAAACUUAUUCAAAAAAUGUUAUUAAAUGCAAAUUAGAUUCAAGUUGCAAGGAAUAUUGGAGGAAAAUUUGAAAUAAGACAAAGUAUAAAUUGCAUAAGUAACUGGUUGCAAAUAUUAUUGAUCUGUACAAAAAAUUGUCAUUAGAUUUGGGUUGCCUACUGCAAGAGGAAUAUAAGCCAAAGGCCUUGUAUGCAAAGUGUACAGAUCGAACUUCCUCAAGUUCAAGAAAGGGGAUUACAAUAUAUGUUUCAAGCCUGGGGUCAUCACCUUGUGAAAUAAAGUUGAAGAUAUUUUUUUUUAUAUAUUUUUUUUUGAACAUGGUACCUAUGAGGCAAAGAAAAAGUGAGUUAAAUGACUAAGAACUUUAAAUAGAAAUAAUAAUCCCUCUACACAUCUUUAGUCUAUCUUUUUAGGAUCAUUUCCAGGCAACACUUUUGAAUAUAACUGUGAUCCAGACCAAGGAAUAAGAGUGGAUCCUCGUCAAUCAAGAAGAACCGUGAGACAACCUGAGAAGGAGUCAAGAACAACUGAACUAAGUGGUACAAAAUUGCCUUUCAACGGUAAAGGGGUAAUAAUGAAUUGGGAAAACACAUGCAGGAUCACACCUGACUGGGAAGUGAGACCAAGCUUAUAUCAGUGGUUUCAAGUACCGCCUGGACAGACUUUAAAAUGCCUUUGGUAUCCACCUUGGCAAGAGAGUGUGCCAUCACAAACAGGGGGAUCUGGACUAUUUCGGACAGGAAAUUCCCGUAUUUUUGCCUUAGCCUGUGAUUUAUACAAAGAGGAGGGAGAGUUACAACCUAGAUCGGUGCCUCAUAAUAUACCCUGCUUGACCCAUCCAAACACUGGGCAUGCUAGUUGGGUAAAAUGUAAAUGUUUAAAUUGUGGGAGAAAUUGGUAUUGCAGUUCACACAAAAGAUGCUUGUAUUGCCGGGAGUGUCGGGGGACAAGUAGGUCCCCUAUCCAGAUGGAACAUGCGACGGCAGAAAUAAUAACUUUAUUUUGUGGAUGGGAAUUAUUAGUUCCUGUUACAUGGGAAAUACCUGAAAAACUGUGGGAAAAUACAGUCAAAGAGUGUCAAAGACGAUUUGCCUGGAAAUUGGCUAAAAGAAAGUAAAUGUAUAAAGGAUGAGUAAUAUCUGACUAGCCGUAUCUUAGAGCUUGCUACUGAAUUGAGCCUAAAUAUAAUUGGAUUUCCUGAAUUGGUAUCACUUGUUUCAAAGGGGAAUAAGGAAAAUAUUAGAUUCAAAAGGUUCAAAUGUUAACUAUUGAAUACCAAAGGUCAAAUAACAUACCCUGCGAAGCUGAUAUAGUCAAAUUAUUAAAGGGGGGGGGGGGUGCUGGGGUGCCUUUAAAAGGCGAUAUACAGCUCAGUCCAGACAUGAAACCCUGGAAGGACAUUCUUGCUGCCGUGAAGAUAACUUUAUCCUGCCACUGGCAGCAACCCAGUGGGUGUGGCAAAGGCAGAGGGAUACACCUGUGGGUAACUAUAAUGGGCUUGAGCCUAGCCAUGUGCUGUACAACUAGUCUGCACUUGGAAAUUCUGCCCGACAUUAAAAGGGCAGAAAUAUCAGCACCCCCGCCCCAGGAAGCUGCUGCAAGAGUAAGAAAAACACUGUACUCUAAACAGCAGGAAGUAUGAAAUCUGUAACAUAAGUGAAAAAAGAGAUAAUAUGCAGUAUGCAAAAAAAAAAAAAAAAAAAAAGCGAUAUCUAAGGACCGGCAGUCAGAAGCUCACACCUACAAAUUAUACAAGCAAGGUGUGGGGAAACUUAUUCCUGUGUGUAAUCAAUGUAAUAGAGCAAUAUGGGAUGAAUGAAAAAUAGAGUCAGAAUCUGUAAGCAUAUCUCAAAGUUAAUAAGCUAUGUUAUAAUAAAUUCAAGAUGUAUGCAAUGGAAGGAAACUUACUGGGUAAGAAAGAAUCUAAAGAUUAAGAGUAAAUAUGCACAUAACCAACCUGUUGUCCUAGAUCUUGCAGGAGAGAAUGAUGUGUUUACAAAAUGAUAAAGUUUUCUGGUUUGUUUUGAAGAAUAAAGAAAGGUUAAACUCAGAAAGUAAAAGGAAAUAAUAAGAAGCCUUAGAAUUAGAAAGACAAGAGUCAGAUUUAAAGAAAAAAAAUAGAACAGAGAAAGGCUGAGCACUUUAAGUGAAUGAUAAGACUAACUAGAGAAACUAUAUAAUAAUUUAAAGAUUACCUGCCUCAGAUAAGAAUUUGCUUAUAGAUCUGAUGCAAGAAAUUACUACCAAGUGAAAACUAACUGACUAUUUGAUUUAUGGGGGAUUAAAAGCAGCUGGAAUGUGACCAUAGAAAGGGUGGGGGUUUAACCCCAGAGCAACUUCUAAAAGAUCUUCAGCUAACUCUGCGCAGAUCACGCUAAUAGACCAGAUCAAAUGCAAAGAACCGGACUACCCUUGUUAUCCAUUUGUAUCAUUUAGGUGCUAUUAUUGUAAAAUAACGUGGGUGGCACAUUGUGAAAGGGGGGGGUGAGACCUAGGGAUCUGUAUGAAGAUUGUUUUAACCACAAAGUGCAUGUGACUAACCUAUUCUUGAUGCUCCUGACAGAACUGCGAGUGAUUGAAGCAGACUCUAUACUGUGGUUUAGGCUUUUUCAGAACAGAUUUAAGGGGAAAACUUCGGUAUCGGGCUCAAAUUUUGUCGAUCGAGUACCGGAAAGAGAACAAAGUACCCUGCAGUGCCCAGCCAGUAAGACUCAACUAGUGGGGAGUGUUUAAGCGAAGGUACGCAGCUCAGGCUAGCUAUGAUCUCCGAGAUAUUGAUUCCUGCUGCCAAGAAGAUGGUACUCCCUGCUGCUGGUGGCAACCCAGUGGGCGGGAGUGGGGGCAGAGGAAUAAUAAUCGGAGUAACCCUGAUGAGCCUGAGUCUAGUUGUGUGCCUCAGGACUAGCACAUAUGCUGAAACCCAGACAGAUUCAGAUCGGUGGGACCCCAGCCGGAUUUGUGAAAUUUGCACCGAGGACAGUCGGGGUGAAGCGGAGGCUUUACCUGACCUCCCCUCUACAGACUGCACUAAAGGCACGGCAUGUAGGUACUAUUGAUCAAACGGCACUUUGGAGCUUGUCUAAAAGAGGGGGGAAAAGUCUGCAUCUCGCAAGAGGUAGCGUCCAGAAUGGGUAAGUCAACCCAUAUCAGAAAAAGGCGCGGUAUUGAACCUGUUAAGAUUCCAAUAUGCGAUAAGUGCAAUCGUACUGUAUGGACUGGGGGAAGGAUGGAUUCGAUUUUUGUAGGUUAUUUCCCGGUCAAUCAAUUAUGUUAUAACAGUGAACAGUUGGGAAUGUGUACAAUGGGGGGGAAAACAUUGGGUGGGGAGAAUGUAAAAUACAAGAAUAAGAUUUCUUUGGGAAAAGAACCGGUCAUCAUAGGUUUACUCGAAGAUCAUGAUGAUCGAGCCUCCCUCCAAUAUGACAAAACUUUUUGUUUUUCCCGGAAUAAAGAAGGGGUGGACCCUGAAAGUAAAAUUCAACAGGUCACCCAAGAAUUAAAAAGGCAGGAAUCUGAAAUGAGAAAAUGUAGGAUCAAGCAAGAGAGGUUAAAAACUCUAAGCGAACAUUAUGAACAAUUGGAAAAGCAAUAUAGUGAAUUUGGCCUGCCAGCAUCAGACCAAAAACUUAUUCAUAGACCUCAUGUAGGAAAUUGCUACGGAAUUAGGUCUUACAAAUUGCUGGAUAUGUGGGGGUUUAAAAUAGGCCGAAAAGUGGUCUUGGAAAGGAGAAGGGUUAACCCCAGAACAGCUGCUUAAGUGGAAUCAGGACUUGCAGCUGAAAUAAAGAGGGUCACCCAUGUGCCCAUCCAGAAGUGGAACUCGAUCCUAAACACAUCCUGGUGGGACAAUCUGUGUAAUGGGGCAUGCUGGAUGAAGUUAAUCUUCUUUAUUCUCUGUUCCAUAUCAGGAGUCAUCUUCCUACCCUGUCUGAUCCCCUGCUUUAUCCAGUUGAUACUUUCAGUUGUACAAGGGAUGCAGAUAGCAGCCAUGCCAAUGGACCCAGAGAUGGCGACAGGAAAGGCUAACCCAGUCUCAAAGAUUAUGAACUUAGAGGAAGAUACCCCACAUAAAUGGGCAGCUAACACCCUAGCUCAGUUUGAGAAGCAAAUUGAGCACAACAGAUCAGAACUCAGGGAAUACCAGGGAAUACCUCAGGAUGAUUGAGAAGGAGGUCACUUGUAUGUAUAUAGAAAUCCACUAAAAAUAAAACACAUGGGUUUAAUUUUUAGAAUUACCCACAAAUUAAUGGGUUAAUAAAAGAGGUGAGGAAUUUGUUAUAGAUAUGGGUAGUAAUUCGUGGGAAUAAAAGGUGUAUCAAAAUAUAUAUGUAUAAAAUGAACUACUGGUGUACAAGGGGGGGGGAGAUUCUUACCCAGGAUGGCGAAACUGUGGCAGAUGGACAGAGAGGCACCACCACUUUUGCAUUUGAAGGAAACUUUGGCUGCACAGGAGAUGGGCAUUCACAAGGACCUGCACCCAGUGAUGCCUAAGCAAUGAUGGCCCAGACAAGAUACCUAUCUGAGAGGACCAGGGCCAUCAACACCUUCCAUCUGAAUGCCAGAAUCUGGGAACCGGGGAAGUGUAUUAUUCUAUUCCCGGACGGAGGAUUUGUGCAGCCCGAGCCAGAGAAAGAAACCAACUUGAAUAUGAAGAACUCAGAAAGAAACAAAGACAUCCUGCCGCGGACGAAAUAAACCGUAUAAGAACUGCUGCCUCGGAGCAGCCAGUGUGGACGGGGAGGAAUUGGUACUAGUGAGGCCAAUCUCACGUUCACCCGCAUAACCUGCCGGGGGUGGUGCGCUGUCCGAUUUGGUUGGUGGCUGUCGAGACUGUAUUACGGUCGCUAAAUAAAUUUUAUUUUUUAUAUUUUUAUUAAAA